rnacentral:lncRNA from 1 species
UUCACUUUUGGAGAGUGCUAUUGUUUGGGUAGGAUUUUUUAAGCUUAAUUCACAAAGACAUUUUUUAAAUAUUAAAAUUCAUGCCCUUUGAUUGAUCAAGGAGGAGGCAGGAUAAUGUAUUUUUUUCCCCUCGUACCAGAGUUUAAUACAGGCUAUAUCUCCUUUGGCAAAUCACCUAUCCCGAUAAAAAACAAAACUGUUUUUAAAUCUCAGCUCUGUAAUCCUUAGAGCUUAAAGAUAAAGGAAAAAAAAUGACCUUCUUUUUGUCCAUUAGUCAAUUACAGGAAGCAUUAUUCUUUCCAUAUUACCACGUUAUGAAUCUGAUUUCAAAGUAAGUAUUCUAAUGAAAAGAGAAGCACUUAACUUUUUAAAAAAAUUCCAACUGACUCUGCAAAUGAAAUUUUUAAACCAAGGUACCAGGAGAGGAAAAAGACCUUAUGUUCUAAAGCCACCAUCAUAUGAAAUAAAUUAUUCUGUCUUUUAUGUAUCCGAAUGGUAGUAGUUAUAUGCCAUCCUUGGGAGAACUGAAGAAAUGGUCACUCAAGUCAUUCUGUAUGUUUUGUGUUUCUGAGGAGCCCUCACUGAGAAAGGCUGGCAGAGUCAGAAAAAAAAAAUUCGUGUUCUUUAAACAGGGUAUAGUCGGGGUUUUUUUUUUUGUGAUUGGGGCUUUUUAAAAAGAGAGGUACUCUGGAAAAGGAGACAGAACAUAUUUAAGUCCUACUUUUAGCAUGUGAAGGAGCUAGAUUCUACAUUUUCUUAAAUACUCUGAUGAGUUAAAUGGAACUAACACUCAAAUGCCACCAAAUCCCCCCACCACUGAUAGUUAACAAUGACAGCAUCUCCGACUGCUUCUUGCAUCUUUGCUAUCUGCCUGACUCCAUUCUGAGUGCUUUGCAUCAAUUCUCCUGUAAUUCUCUUUAAUAUGAGAUAAGUAUCCCCAGAUUUACAGAUGAAUAAAACUGAGACUCAGCUCACACAGCAGGCCCAAGAUUGUCCAGUUAAAUAAGGAGCACAAGCAGGAUGGAAGCCAGGCCAGUUCAACUCAAAGGGCCUCACUUAACACCAAGGCCUACUCUGAAGGGUGCAAGACUUCAGGCUUGUAUCCUCAGGUGGGCUGUAAAAUAAGAGGCCUGGACUACACUAGCUCUAAAUUUGUUACCCAGUAUGCUACAGUUAAUUUACCAAGAUACAUAGUGCAAAAACAAGGAAAAAGAUUAACGUCACUUUUUACUAUGAUUUUGUAUAAAAUAAUUGGAAUUUAAAAUAGGGCACAAAACAUUAUCUUUAUGAAACACUUGUUUCUGAAUGAAAUGGAGGAUGGUUUUAGCACCCUAAUACUCAGUUUCAAAACUGUAACAAUAAAGUUACACAAGAUGAUAUAAAUUCUAACCCCUGUAGAAAUGUUGGACUGAUUAUCCAAUUUCAGGAGUUACAGUGUGGCUUUAUGUUUGUUUUCUUUAGUGCUUUGCCAUGGUUUUUAUAUAAUAAAUGAAAAACACAAACAAAAAACACAAAACUGAGUUGUGGAGAAUGAUGACUUCGAUGGAACCAUAAAAUCUCCCCUACACUAAAAAGAAAAGAACACACAGCCACUUUACAUCUGCAAUCCACCUUCCUCAGACCUUUAUCAAUUGCCAUCAGGAGUCUUUGUAAGUAGUGAAGAGUGGUGGAUCAGGAUCUCAUCAGAGGCAGGCACCAAUCUGACUUAAUUCAGGGACUUGGUUAGGUAGGUGACAGAAAAGCUGGGAAGCCAGACCACUGUGAGAACCACAGGCAGCCUCUCCACGGCCUUGGGCAGAAGAAUAAAGAGAGGAGAGAAUGUUGUUGGAGCUCAGGGCCACCCACAGUGGGUGGGGCAUAGGUGAGACGCAGCAGCUCACAGAGGUCUCUAGAGCUGAGGAGACAAGGCUGAGAGUCUGGGAAGCGGGACAGAGUACCCACGUGGAGAAAGCUACAGAGAGAGAGGACUGUAGAGAUCUGUAGCUUCCCUAGAGUCUUCAGCUGAGUACUGACCAGCACAUGUACAUAAGUAAACUACAAGAGGCCAGAGAGAGGACUAGAGGGAACCAUCUCCAAAUCUUACACAAACAUGCUGCAUGAGCUGGAAAGAGAAAUAUAAAUGCCCUGCUUUCCCCCCAACCCCCGCCCCUCCUCCUUUCCUGUAAUCCUCCCCUUACCUAUGCCUCCCAUUAGCCUGGUGGUUCUCAACCUUGGCUGCACAAACUAGAAUCAACUAGGAAGCUGUAAAAACGUUGAAUGCCUCGGUACACCCCUAGAAAGACUGAUGUAAUUGGUCUGGGUGCAACCUGGGCAUUAGGAGCUUUAAAAGCUCUCUUGGUGAGUUGAGAACCAAUACAUUAGCCGAACCCAAGUAGAAGACACGAGAACAGACCCUGGAAAACAUAGCCUACAGAAAUCAGCACCCUUUCAUACGGGGCAAGGAGAGGAUCUGAGAGCCUGUGGGCCUAAGAUCAGCAAAGAUGGCACAAAGAGAUGGGUAGAAAUAAGAUGAUGAGAAGAAGGAGAAAAAAAAGUAGGCAUGAUCUUCCUUAAACCCUUCAGUGGCCAGCUCACAUUGAACACCCGGCUGCAGAGUUUCUUCCCUCUUAUAAUACUUACUGCUAUUCCUCCAGUGACCAGACUAUCAUGUGCCACCUCCCAUGUGUCCUUGGCUGUGCUGAAGCCCAGCAUCUUGCUAUCUGUUCUGGUUCAUCCUGCAGCAUCCCAUCAGGAAACCCUGGUGUUCCUCCUCUUACUAGCUGCAUCAGGUAUUUUCUUCUUUCCCAAACUGACUGGCUAGUUCAUUUGUAUAUUUUGCUAAUAUUAAGUAGUAAUUGAUGGCUAAUAAUAGGUAAUGUAACCCCCCCGGAUAAUAUUUGCAUGGCAAAACAGACCUUGAGUGUAAGAAUUUCAGGGCAAAGUCACAGAUUGAUUGAAUAGAUUUUUCUGUGUCCCUUAAAAUGUAAAUAAAUUUAAAUCAAAUAACAUAGGGGAUGGCCUAACAUUGGAAAGUAAUGAUUUACAAAUUUACAAAUGAUUUACUGCAAUGUAUUUUGAUUAUAAUCCUACUCAUAGCUGCUAAAAUGUUAAGCAAUGUGAAGAUACCUUAAGAUACAUUUAUAUCCUGUUAAUCAUUUAUAGCCUAAAAAUAUACUUGCUGUAAAUUCCAAAGUCUUAUGAUUUUGGAUCAAAAGAAAUUUAUUUUUAAAAGUGGAAAUAUUUAGCAUUAUUAUCCUAUUUGCCUGAGAAAGUCACCUUCCAGAGAAGGACAAAAUCCAAGGUCAAAAUCAGAAAUCAGAUACUCUAUGUGUGUGUGUUUAGACUGACAGGUCAGUCCCUGAGAAACUGGUUGUAUAUUGUGAAACUGUUAAAAUACUGAGUUCAAAACUGGACAUGCUAUUUUUAAAAAACUAUUUUCUGGUAUGAAUCUUUCUUAUUAUUACUCUAGAUGAAGAAUUUGUGAAUCUCCACAAAUAUAUGGUAGUGCCAACUCCUAAAAACAAACUUCCAACAGGACAACCACAAAGUACUGAAAUAAUAUACAUGCAUGCAUAAAGGCCAUGGGCAGAUCUACUUCUGUGAUCCUACAAGCAACACAUCAAGGCUCAUAAUUCAGAGAUCAUUUCUCUUCACCAACUACUUAAUGAAUGGUAUUCUUCCAGUGGAAAGUUUAAAUCCCCAAAUCACAACCAAUACCACCUGACUGAGCUCCCAAAAUUAUCACUAAAAGGAACAGAUCCAUUCUACCUAAGUAUGUGGACAUAUUCUCAUUUUAGCUAUCAGACUCUUUUAAAAGCACUUGAAAUAAUUAAUACAUUUUAAUGGACAGAAUGAAAAUUCAAAACAGGUAAAUGACCACAUACUGAUGGAAUUCCCACAGACUCUUGGGAGCAAUAUGACCAUAACAGCCAUCUUCUUCCAUCACAUUAUUAAACAAGAAAUGGAAGAUGCUUUUUGUCCGUAAAAACCAGAAAAUUAAGGUUAAGUGAAUUUUGAAAUGAUGAGUAACUAAUACUACACAGGAAAGAAACACACAAGUCUAAGCUUACCAAAGGAGUAGUAAACCCACUAGGAUUUUAUCAUGAAAAUGCUGCAUAUGUCUCAGACAAAAGGCAAAGGUAGAAGAGAACCAUCUUUUCUUAGCAUGUGGAAAUAACCUAACAAUUCCUUUGAAAAUAGAACCUAUCUAUACACAUGCAACAAAUCUGCACGUUGUGCACGUGUACCCUAAAACUUAAAGUAUAAUAAAAAAAUAAACAAAUAAAACGUGAAAAAAAAGAAAAUAGAACCUAAACACAUACUCUGUACUGAGUCAGUGUUCAACUCAUGCUAUUGACUUAUUAAAUAAUGAUGUCUAAGAACUCCACGCAUUGGUAAGACCUAACUGGGUACCUUUCUGGGAAUGAAUAACAGUGAUUUUAAAGACAUUAUUAACUGCAGUGAGAUUUGCUCAUCUGCCCAAGCUGAAGGGAGGCAUCUGAUUCAUCUCGGUCAAUUUAAACAGCUCAGAUAAUCUAAACAUGGUGUGGACAAAAUUAAAGGGCAUUCCGAGUCCUUAAUAUUAUGUGGGCUCUCUUUCAGAAUGGUCUUACAAAAUGUGCCUCAGGGGUUCUGUGGGUCCAGGAAAUAUCCACACAGUCCCUGACUUUGGUGGUGACAACAAAGGGAUCGAAGAUCUGAGAAAGGGAAGGAACAGAACACCACCUCCCGAAGCAAAACCAAACCAACAAGAAAAAAUACUCACAAUUGCUUAAAGAAAUGGUUGAUACUAGGUUGAAACUUUAAAUUAGAAAAUAUUUUCUUCAGUUAAUAGAAAGGAAAUAAAGGAUUGUCAAAUCUU